AGCCUUCUGUAUCCGUGUCGAAAUUUCAUCAGACACCAGACUGUCAGGACUGAUGGGACUUUCAAGAUAAGUGAAGCG
rnacentral:pre_miRNA from 1 species